rnacentral:rRNA from 1 species
CCUACGGGGUGCAGCAGUGAGGAAUAUUGGUCAAUGGGCGCGAGCCUGAUCCAGCCAAGUAGCGUGAAGGAUGACUGCCCUACGGGUUGUAAACUUCUUUUAUAAAGGAAUAAAGUGAGGCACGUGUGCCUUUUUGUAUGUACUUUAUGAAUAAGGAUCGGCUAACUCCGUGCCAGCAGCCGCGGUAAUACGGAGGAUCCGAGCGUUAUCCGGAUUUAUUGGGUUUAAAGGGAGCGUAGAUGGGUUGUUAAGUCAGUUGUGAAAGUUUGCGGCUCAACCGUAAAAUUGCAAUUGAUACUGGCAGUCUUGAGUACAGUUGAGGUAGGCGGAAUUCGUGGUGUAGCGGUGAAAUGCUUAGAUAUCACGAAGAACUCCGAUUGCGAAGGCAGCUUACUAAACUGCCACUGACAUUGAUGCUCGAAAGUGUGGGUAUCAAACAGGAUUAGAUACCCGAGUAGUC